GACGAACGCUGGCGGCGUGCUUAACACAUGCAAGUCGAACGGUAAGGCCCUUCGGGGUACACGAGUGGUGAACGGGUGAGUAACACGUGGGUGAUCUGCCCUGCACUUCGGGAUAAGCCUGGGAAACUGGGUCUAAUACCGGAUAGGACCACUGCCUGCAUGGGUGGUGGUGGAAAGCUUUUGCGGUGUGGGAUGGGCCCGCGGCCUAUCAGCUUGUUGGUGGGGUGAUGGCCUACCAAGGCGACGACGGGUAGCCGGCCUGAGAGGGUGACCGGCCACACUGGGACUGAGAUACGGCCCAGACUCCUACGGGAGGCAGCAGUGGGGAAUAUUGCACAAUGGGCGCAAGCCUGAUGCAGCGACGCCGCGUGAGGGAUGACGGCCUUCGGGUUGUAAACCUCUUUCAGCAUCGACGAAGCGCAAGUGACGGUAGGUGCAGAAGAAGGACCGGCCAACUACGUGCCAGCAGCCGCAGUAA
rnacentral:rRNA from 1 species